rnacentral:sRNA from 12 species
UGGUGAAUAAGUCCUUUCCGAAACGGAUGAGGCCACCUUGAGGUGGGUGGGACAAAGUAGGAAAGGGAUCACAA